AUGUAAAAACAAAACCGAAAAUAAAUACAUACCAAAAUUCAGGAUCAAAACAAAAAUAUAAGAUAACUCACAGAGAGCCAUAGAGAAGAAAUUCUUGAUCAAUUUUGCGGAAGCGUGAAGUCCGGCUAUGGUUUGAAAGUCACGAACCGAACUUGGGUGAUUUGGUUUCUCCCCCUGUCUCAGGCACUCUACCGUAUGGUGUGGAACCGAUAGUAAUUCUUCACCAGAAUGCGUAUGAGAAGGUGGCAGGACCAAUACACCUUUAUAUAGAGUCCAGAUCGACUUUCCAUCAAAGUCUGAUUAGAAUUUUAUUUAAAUCUGAAAUAGAUAGGAUAGGGAUAAAAUAUACCAUAUCAAGUAGUUCUAAAUCUGUUAGGAUUGACCUUUAUCUAUAGCAAAUCCUAAAUUAAAUAUGAUUAAUUGGGCCACAAUAUAUGGAAAUCCUAACACGAAUUGCUCAAUCUACACGCAAAAAUUAUAUAUAUAUAUAUAUAGAGUUGAGCUAGAAUACUAUCGGUAGUAAACGAGUCGUUUUACUACCGAUUUGUUUUUGAUAAUAGAGCUUCCAAAUUGAUGAUCGGCUCCGUUAAAUAUGAUCUAAACUAUUUAAACUACCUAGAAAUUAAAUUUCACGCACUUUCGAUAUUGUUCUUUUAUCCAUCAAGUGAACAGAAAAAUGAAUGGCUGAAAAUGAAUACUCUUUAAAAAAUGAUGAUAGGAGUCUUGUAAUCAAGAUCAAGAGUAUAGAUCUUGUUUUAAAUAGUUUAAAAAAUUUUCUAACAAAAAUUCAAUUGAUUUGGAUAUCUUUACGCCGUUAAACGAGAAAGCGCCUCUUAUCGACCAUUAAAAUUACAAAUUUUGAAACCCUUUGAUCAUUAGGCAAAUGAUGUCGAAAAGAUUUGAAAUUUGAUUUCUAAACACUUCGAGUGGUAUAGAUCAUGUUCAACGGAACCGAUCGUCAAUUUGGAAGUUCUAUCAUCGAAAACAAAUUGAUAGUAAAACGGCUCGUUUACUACCGAUAGUAUUCUACCUCAACUCUCUCUCUCUCUCUCUCUCUCUCUCUCUCUCUCUAUAUAUAUAUAUAUAUA
rnacentral:lncRNA from 1 species